GACAAGUGAGAAGAGUGAGCUACAGGGAAGCCAUUGCCUCUACCCAGGUCAAACUGUAAGUUAAGAGGGAGCUGCGAGCAGAGCUGAGUUCUCCUGAUUCCAGGCCAGCUCAUUAGUGCCUGUCUCAUGACAUUCUUUGACCAUUUCUUCCUUAUCUUUUUCUCUUAAAUGUUUUAAUUAGAUAUUGGGAAUAUAUAAAACUGUUUAUAGACUAAAUCUAAGAUACAAGAACAAUGACACAAAAUCCACCCAGUAUAACAAGUGAACAUUACCAUCACCUUCUAAUUCCCUAACUUGUCUUCCCCAUCCCAUUUUCAUCCCUCUCAGUGGAACCGCUAUCUGGUAAUAUUAUUGGUCAUUUCCUUUCUUAAUAAUUUUUACUACAAGUAUUUUCAUCUCCAAAUGAUAUAUGGGUUUACAUUAUUGUGAGUUUUAUGUAAAUGGAAUAAUACCAUGUGCAUUCUUCUGUUAUUGGCUGUUUUUCACUCAAUGUUAUGUUUGAGAUUUAUCCAAGUUGCUCUAGUUUGCUAGUUUUCACUGCUAUGUAAGAGUUCAUCAUGUGACUAUAACAUUAUUUAUCCUGGCUAUUGCUAAUUAUCAUUUUGGGUUAUUUCUAUUUCCCCCAUUACAAACAGUGCUUCUGUGACCAUUCCUGUAGAUAUCUCCUAGGAUACGCGCCAGAGUUGCUGGAGGCUGGAGUGCUGUGGCGCGAUCUCGGCUCACUGCAACCUCUGCCUCCCGGGUUCAAGCAAUUCUCCUGUCUCAGCUUCCCGAGUAGCUGGGAUUACAGAUGGGGUGUUGCUCUGUUGCCCAGGCUGGAGUGCAGUGAUGCUAUCAUGUGUCACUGCAACUUCAAGCUCCUGGGUCAAACGAUCCUCCUGCCUCAGCUCCCCAAGUACCUGGGACUACAAGUGCAUGCUGCCACACCCGGUUAAUUUUUAAAAUUUUUUGUUGAGACAAAGUUUCACUAUGUUGCCUGGGCUGGUCUCAAACUCCUGGUCUCAAACAAUCUGCCUGCUUCUGCCUCCCAAAGUGUUGGGAUUGCAGGUAUGAGCCACCGUGCCCGGCCCGAUGCUUAUUUUUGUCUAUUUAUUUUUCUCAGUGAAAAUACUUUCCUCCCUUAUUAUAUCAAUAAACUCAGUGAUGGUAAAGAAUUUGAAAAAUAUUUUAAGAUGUAAAGAAAAAGACGUCAUCUGAAGUCCUAUCUCCGUGAAAUAACCAUUGGUUUGAUUAUAUCCUUUUAUGCAUCUGUUUUUAGAUAUAUGAUUUUUCAUGUAUGGGAUCAUAUAAUACAUGGUGAUUUAUUGGUGAUAUUUAAAAUUUUUUUAUUUUU